CAAUAGCGUAUAUUAAAGUUGUUGCUGUUAAAAAGCUCGUAGUUGGAUUUCUGGUGGGAGCGAUCGGUCUGGCGCUUAGCGCGAGUACUUGCAUCGUCUCCAGCCAUCCUUGGGGAAAGUCUGUCUGGCAUUAAGUUGUCGGGCAGAGGAUCCUCAUCGUUUACUGUGAAAAAAUUAGAGUGUUCAAAGCAGGCUUAUGCCGUUGAAUAUAUUAGCAUGGAAUAAUAAGAUAGGACUUUGGUACUAUUUUGUUGGUUUGCGCACCAAAGUAAUGAUUAAUAGGGACAGUUGGGGGUAUUCGUAUUCCGUUGUCAGAGGUGAAAUUCUUGGAUUUACGGAAGACGAACUACUGCGAAAGCAUUUACCAAGGAUGUUUUCAUUAA
rnacentral:rRNA from 1 species